AGCCCAGCACUGUAAUGGAAAUCUCCCUGGGAAGUUAAGCAUCCCAGGGCUGAUGGAGGCAAAGUACACCCUCCUGUACUUUAACAGAGCUCCGAGCUCAAGAACGGCCCCGGUUUCUCUCCUAGUGUGGGUGACAGAGGUGUCUAGCUUACUUUUUCUUGGACUCCCUGAUUCUUAGCUGAUCUGCAUCAAUGGGGAGCUUUUCCUCUGAGACCUGAAGCAUGGCAGUACAAGAGAUUUCAAGGCAGAACGGAAGGUCAAUAAAGAAAGCCAAAGGGGAUGGCGGCCUUGGUUCCCUGUUCCCCCAGCAGCUGUCCCCUGUAAGAGCUUCUGAACUACUGAGUGCCCUCGGAGUGGCCCCGCAUUGUUCUGACCUCUUGGAGCAGUUACCUCUGCUAACCAAAUUUAUGAGAGCCAGAAACAUCUGGUGGUUCGCUAUCUUCGUCCAGCUCUGAUGGCCUCUCCAUGUCAACAGAUGAAUGUGCCCUGAGUGCCUGUUAGUGUGGAUGAUAAUCAAGUCUGCAUUAGCAAAUGUUGGGGAUGGGGGCGGGCAGGGCAGACCCAUUCUGGGGCCUAACCAUGCAGUGUGGCAGAGUGGGCAACAAAGGGGAGGUGGCCAGAUACACAAAAGUGCUUACGCCAGAAGGCCUGACACGCUGCAGGCGGUCCGUGACAUCUUGUGGCUUUGGGCUGUUGUUGAGUGUGAUGUGUGUCACCGUCAUGAUGGAUGACUUUCAGAUCUUUCCCAUUAUAUCAUAUCUGUAAGAAAUUCCCUCUUCCUCAAAUGUCUUUUUGUCCCCUUACCCUUGGGCUGCAGAUGGCACCUGCCCACGCACUCCCAUUGUGCAAAGCCUACAGAGGACGGCACCAUUCCUCAGAGGUUCUGCUCAUGCUUGAAUUGCUAGCAUUCAAUUAAGACUUGAAAUUAUGGCUUUAGGCAGUUUAACCUCUUUGAGCAGACGGAAUGGGAGCUACACUGACCACUUGGGAAUUUCCUGGGGUGUCCCGGAUAGGUUUCCCUCCUUGAGAUCUGAAAGGGCUGAAUUGCCAGGCAAAACAAAGGCAAGUGUUCCCUUUUACACUCUUUGGUUAAAUUAUUUUCUAUAAUGAAAAAAGAAAACUCUCCUGGUGAGUAAAGUCAUGUGCAUACAUGGAUUCCUCAGAAAAAUACAAAAUUCCCUCAACUGCAAA